GGGAAGAGGUUCAGAGCACUGAGAGACCAGGUGUGAGAGCCCAGGGAUGAGGAACAGAAGGACACCUGGUCUGAAUGCCCACCCCUUGACACUAAUCUCAAGGGACAGGGCCAACCUGCAAUGCCCCUCACCUCUCGUUGGUGGGGUCCGAGCAGUUCAGUGGGUACUUGAGGUGGAUGAUGGUGCCAUCUCGGUCCUGCAGGAUGCCCUGCUGCUGCGUGUAAUACUCUACCAGCUCUGUCAGCGUCGCAAACUUCUCCCCUCCAUACAGGUCAUAGAAGUCCCCUGAGUUCUGGAUCCGUAUAUGGGUCACCUGAUCAUCUACCCUGCAAGGUGCCACCAGACAGUGUCUUGCUGUACGUGGCCAGGCUAGCCUCAAGCUCAAGAUCCUCCUACCACAGCUUCUCUCCUGUUGUCCUACACCACUCUUCCCAGCUGAGACAAUUGUAUCAUUGUUAUUGUAAUCCUGUUUACUUGUGACUAUCCCAAUUUUAGAAACAAAAGUGAAAACUGAAGACUUGUUCAGUAACUUGCCCACAGUCACGAGGUUCCAGUGAGUAGGAAGGUGAAAAAACAAAACAAAACAAAACAAAAAAAAAACCAAAGCUGUCUGGGUCCAGAGAUGUUUGCCACAGCAACUGCACCAUCAGGCUUUAAGGAGCUGCGGGGCACAGCAAAGCCUGGAGAUGGAGACGGAGGAUACAGGUCACGCCCACAGGCAGAUGGACCAGGACACAGUGGUGCCAUGGAAACUGGGCACUUGGGUUGCUUGGUGUGAACAGAGCAAGACAUCUGAACCAAAGUAUGCAGGGGCUGGCCCCCCGAAGCAGAGGUCUUCCAAGUCCAGGUUACAGAACCAAGAAAGGUUCUAGAAUGGGAGAUUCCUUGUCAAGUCUCAGUACCACCCUCAGGCCGGCAGGGACAAGAUAUACACUGGAGGAAGAGUGUGCACGGGAAGAAUCGCAUGAGUAUGAAAAGCCAAACUCAGCAGGACCCCCCCCUACAGACCACCCACAAAGUCACCAGAACUCUGAGUGGGCUUUCACUACCCAAAGCCCACCGGAAGUCUAAGGUGCCCAUGGCUUCCUUCUUGGGUGAACACACUAUCCUUUACCCAUUUGUCCCCAGACAUCACUUAGCUCAGCUCAAACAUCACCUCAUCUGGAAGCCCUCCCAGUCAGCCAGUUAAGUCUCCAGAAUACAUCACUUGCUGCUUCUUUUCCUGCGUGUUAGUGAAUGCUUCGGCCAUCUGAAACAAUCCUAGUUAUUGUCUAUGUAUUCACUCGGCCAUCUCUGGCUGGAAUCAUCAUCAUCAUAUAGGUUCAUAUUACCAACAAACAUCUUCAUCAGUACCUGUC
rnacentral:lncRNA from 1 species